GCACUGCUGAGGAGUCCCACAAUAAAACAAAACGGCCGUCCAGUGC
rfam:Schistosoma margrebowiei strain Zambia genome assembly, scaffold: SMRZ_scaffold0003044